UUGAACGCUGGCGGCAUGCUUUACACAUGCAAGUCGAACGGUAGACCCUUUCGGGGGUUGAGAGUGGCGAACGGGUGAGUAAUGCAUCGGAACAUACCCAGUCGUGGGGGCUAACGUAGCGAAAGUUACGCUAAUACCGCAUGAGUCCUGAGGGAGAACGCGGGGGAUCGCAAGACCUCGCGCGAUUGGAGUGGCCGAUGUCAGAUUAGCUAGUUGGUGGGGUAAAGGCCUACCAAGGCGACGAUCUGUAGCGGGUCUGAGAGGAUGAUCCGCCACACUGGGACUGAGACACGGCCCAGACUCCUACGGGAGGCAGCAGUGGGGAAUUUUGGACAAUGGGGGCAACCCUGAUCCAGCCAGUCCGCGUGAGUGAAGAAGGCCUUCGGGUUGUAAAGCUCUUUCAGCAGGAACGAAACGGUGGCCAUUAAUACUGGCUACGAAUGACGGUACCUGAAGAAGAAGCACCGGCUAACUACGU
rnacentral:rRNA from 1 species